CACUAGUCGCGUCGUAUCAUGUGUGUUGGUAAAGUUUUGUUAUCUUAAUAAGGCUGUUUGGUGGUUUUUGUUUGUUUGUUUGUGAGAUUAACAUUCACCAUUUGCUUUACCCAAGUCUGAACGUGUUUUUAACAAUCUGUCCGGGGUUGUCGUCAGUAGUGAACAAAACGCAAAAUUUGCAAUAAAUUCCGUCCUGUGAAGUUGAAUAGACAAUGCAUGGGAAAUAGUGCAGCCACGCAUAUUAGAAGCAUUUUUAAACCCGUACAUUUC
rnacentral:lncRNA from 1 species